GUAGUUACUUACUCUGCAUAACGGUAUGCAAGAUUACUGCAGUAAUUUAAUAUUACCUUUUCAUUUAAUACCUAACCUUGUAUUCCCCAGUGACGUCUUCAAAGAUAAAGGUGGACUGGGAGCCUGGACAGUAAACUAUCCACAGCAGUGGAUGCAGACGGAUGGAGACAACUGUGGGAUCUUUGUGUGCACUGCUGCAGAGAGUGAUGUCCAAGAAAUCGAGAUGGGUCAACAGUACCUCACUCUGAGCAAUUGCUCACAACUGCGCAAAUACCAUGCUGCUUGCAUGAUUAAGGACCUGAACAACCAGGACUUCCCUCCCACCCAAAACAGGAUGGCAGAGAAGUUAGAUCGAGAGGAAAAACUAAAGGAAGCUGAAGAUAAGCGCCAAUCAGCAAAUGUCCACUGCAUUGCCUGGAAAAAUAAAGCAUGCAUUUUCCAGCAUGUAGAAGGUGAAACGAAGGGAGUAAGAAAUUAAAGGGGAAGCAAAUUUCUGUGGAAUUUGACAUAAGGCCUAGGUUUUCCAAAAGCAUUCUAGAAUGAAUCUGAUUAUGUUUAUUGAAAAUGGAUAGUAAAAAAAAUUAUGUAGUGUAAAUCUGAAACUAAAGCUUGUCACAAUCUGCAUAGAUCCCACAGGGACCGACCUGCCCUGGAAAUAGUCAAAUAAUAUCCUCUGUAAUUAUAUUUUGUACCCAACUUUCCUCCAUAUUGACACUAUUUUUUGCUUUCAUUCUGAAAUUCUGUUUCUACCCCAAUAGAACACUCCAUGACAAUAUCAAGGAAUAUGACUGGGUGCAAUGUGCCGAUUGCCUGUGCUGGGGUCAUUUUGAAUGUUUCGGAGUACAGAGAGAACUUGCAAGCAAAUUGUUCUCAUGUGGCUGCACAAAAGCUUCAGAUCCAAGCUUAGCUCAGCACAUCUCAGGAGACCCUGUGGACUCCAUUUUAACAGAUGACCAAAUAAGG